rnacentral:rRNA from 1 species
UACGGAGGGAGCUAGCGUUGUUCGGAAUUAUUGGGCGUAAAGAGCUCGUAGGCGGUUUGUCGCGUCUGCCGUGAAAGUCCGGGGCUCAACUCCGGAUCUGCGGUGGGUACGGGCAGACUAGAGUGAUGUAGGGGAGACUGGAAUUCCUGGUGUAGCGGUGAAAUGCGCAGAUAUCAGGAGGAACACCGAUGGCGAAGGCAGGUCUCUGGGCAUUAACUGACGCUGAGGAGCGAAAGCAUGGGGAGCGAACAGG